rnacentral:rRNA from 1 species
AUUGAACGCUAGCGGCAUGCCUUACACAUGCAAGUCGAACGGAGCGGCGAACGGGUGAGUAAUGUAUCGGAACCUGCCCAGUAGCGGGGGAUAACUACGCGAAAGAGUAGCUAAUACCGCAUACUAUUAGAGCGGCCGAUGUCGGAUUAGCUAGUUGGUGGGGUAAAGGCUCACCAAGGCGACGAUCCGUAACUGGUCUGAGAGGAUGAACAGCCACACUGGGACUGAGACACGGGCCAGACUCCUACGGGAGGCAGCAGUGGGGAAUAUUGGAAAAUGGGGGAAACCCUGAUCCAGCCAUGCCGCGUGUGUGAAGAAGGCCUGCGGGUUGUAAAGCACUUUUGGCAGGGAGGCGUUACCUACAGAAUAAGCACCGGCUAACUUCGUGCCAGCAGCCGCGGUAAUAC